rnacentral:rRNA from 1 species
GGAAUCUUCCACAAUGGACGAAAGUCUGAUGGAGCACGCCGCGUGAGCGAUGAAGGCCUUCGGGUCGUAAAGCUCUGUUGUUAGGGAAGAACAAGUGCGAGAGUAACUGCUCGCACCUUGACGGUACCUAACCAGAAAGCCACGGCUAACUACGUGCCAGCAGCCGCGGUAAUACGUAGGUGGCAAGCGUUGUCCGGAAUUAUUGGGCGUAAAGCGCGCGCAGGUGGUCCUUUAAGUCUGAUGUGAAAGCCCACGGCUCAACCGUGGAGGGUCAUUGGAAACUGGGGGACUUGAGUGCAGAAGAGGAAAGUGGAAUUCCAAGUGUAGCGGUGAAAUGCGUAGAGAUUUGGAGGAACACCAGUGGCGAAGGCGACUUUCUGGUCUGUAACUGACACUGAGGCGCGAAAGCGUGGGGAGCAAACAGGAUUAGAUACCCUGGUAGUCCACGCCGUAAACGAUGAGUGCUAAGUGUUAGAGGGUUUCCGCCCUUUAGUGCUGCAGCUAACGCAUUAAGCACUCCGCCUGGGGAGUACGGUCG